rnacentral:rRNA from 1 species
AACCUGCCCCAUAGUCUGGGAUACCACUUGGAAACAGGUGCUAAUACCGGAUAAGAAAGCGGAUCGCAUGAUCAGCUUUUAAAAGGCGGCGUAAGCUGUCGCUAUGGGAUGGCCCCGCGGUGCAUUAGCUAGUUGGUAAGGUAAAGGCUUACCAAGGCGAUGAUGCAUAGCCGAGUUGAGAGACUGAUCGGCCACAUUGGGACUGAGACACGGCCCAAACUCCUACGGGAGGCAGCAGCG